rnacentral:misc_RNA from 1 species
AGAUGAUAUACCUUUACCUCCUCAUGGUUUGCAUGCUGCUUUGCUUCUGAGCAAAAAGCCUCAUGCUCGCAUAUGUUGCAUAGAUGACUUGGAAGCCAGGAAAUCUGCUGGUUUUGCCGGCAUCUUCCUGGCCAAAGACGUUCCAGCUGAUAAUAAGAUUGGGGCAGUUAUUCAUGAUGAGGAGCUUUUUGCUUCAGAAAUUGUCACUUGCGUGGGACAGAUUAUAGGAGUCGUAGUUGCUGAU